UAAUCAGAGCUAAUACAAACUCCACUUCUCCAAAAACACGGACACCGAAAAGGUUAAUACCAAUAACGACAACCAAAAAAAUACUAAUCCAAACCGCACAAUUGACAUCUGUCCAAAACGUAAACGUAAUUGCGCAAGUCGUUAACUCAAAUGGGAAUGUAACAAAAUAAUUAAAAAAAUAAUUCCAGCUAACAGCAAAUCCCCAGGCAGGAUCAAUGAAGCGCGUUGCAUAAGUAUUAAAACUGCCGGCAACUGGAUACGCGACAGCCAUCUCACCCAGAGCAUAAAUAACGAAAAACAUCAUAAUACCAAUUAAAAUAUAAUUAAUGAUCACUGAAGCUGGACCACCGUCGGCCAAAGCGCUUCCUGAACCAACAUACAAACCACUACCAAUAGCACCGCCAAUAGACAUCAAUUGCAUAUGCCUCGUACUUAAACCUCGUUUUAAUGCGGGACCUCCAUUACCGUCAGCUUCUCUGGCUGGUUUAAAGCCAUCUAUUAAGUUUUGAAAAAACCCUUUAUGCUCAGGUUCUACAAAAUCAACUUGGCCAGACAAAACUGUCGAUUCUUGGGAAAUAUAAUCCUUUUUGGCCUCUGAGACUUGUGGAGCUUUUUCUUCAGGCAAAACGCUUUCAAUAUCGAAGUCAUAAUCUUUAGCUGACAUCUUGAAAAUUACAAGUAGUACGGGCUAGACUGUUUAGUCAAAUGAUUAUUCACAAACACGAAUUGACAGAAGGAAAAGAAAAAAAAAAUACACAAGUUCGAAAGAUUGCUUUUAAAGUAAAAAGGAAAAUAAAACAAAUAUCUCUUGAAAGCUUAUAUAUUUACCAAUUGAAAAUUGGCAAAUACAAAAAGUAAAAAAAAAAAAAAAAAAACUUCAGAUUUGUUAGGAAGUAUUGUCAGAGCAAUAAAAAU